CAAGCUGGUGCCAUUUGGAGAAAUGCCGGUUAUGUCAUUAUCUACAUUUUAUUAUACAAUCAUCAUUAGUAUCAGCAUCCUCAGUAUAACAGGAUGAUAUCCCUGAUAUGACCACUGGAAACAAAGCCACUCAACUCUCUUGGGCAGUGAUGCUCCUUUGGUGUUUCCUUCAUAUAGAUAAACCCAGAGAGUCUAAUGGAACACAAUUUUUUUUUAUACAACAAUCUUGCAUACAUAGAAAAAGCAAUUUUUCUAAACGGCAUCUAGCACAUGGCUGAUGCUCAAUAAAGGCUGAGUGUUAAAAACUAUGUAUCUUAUUAGCAACACAUCUCAGUACUAUCAUUUGGAAAAAGUCCUUUCUCUCACAAAUCAAUAUCACAAAGAAUCAGGCAGCAGGUGGAGGAUGUAAAAAUGAAUCAUUUUUCAAUAACUUCUUUCAGCGUGGAAGGUUUCACAUGUCUAGACAUAUUUUGCUGUUGAAUUCCACACUGAUAUUUAAGGGAUUGUUUUUCCCCAUUGCAUACAAAAUUACUCUAAAUAUAGUAAAGCAUUUUGCUCACAUGCUGUCAACCCCAGGCAAAACGUAGAGUCCAUCUGUGUCCUUCCCUAUAGUUCCAGCCAGUAUAUCCCGCAUCACACAUCAGUCAUCAGGUACAGGUUGAGCAAGAAGACGUUUCUCUCCAGUUUGAUGAUGAACAGAGUGAGUUCUUUUAUUUUUAGAAUUGACUAGAAACAUUACAGUUUUCCCACAUGGCAUUCAUUAAAAGUUUAACCUAUCACUUAGUAAUAAAAAUGUGAAGAAUAACAAGUAACAAAACUUUGACUCAAAAAAUUAAUUUUUUUUGUGAGACAAGAAUGUGAAGGGAUUUGGUGUUUUUGUGAUGUUUAUACCAUUCUCAGAUAAUCAGCUGUCAAUGUCUUGCAGACUUAUACCAUGUCUUAUUUGAGUAAUUUUCAGAAAAAUAAGCCCAGUGGGAUAAGAAAGCCCAAAUGCAUACUCAUAUCAGGGAUGCACCUGCAUCUGAAAGGAGAAAAGGAAACAAAUUAAAAAGAGGACUAGAAGAUUUACUUGGCCUGAAUGAUGAGAGUCACCUGGGUAGAACCAAUAAUAAUUGUUCACAUCAAAUGAUUUCUGAAAAUGAUUUUAAGGAUGUUUUACAUAGCUAAUGAGUUGUUCCCCAGUAUACAAGUUCACCAUUCUGAUAUAUGUGGAAAGAUAAUCUUCAUUAACAAAAUGGAAAAAUUAAAUUUUAAAGUUUCUAACAGGUCACAACAUUGCUAUUGAAUAUACCGACUUCCAGCACCACUGCACUUGUUCUCCAUUACAUUUCACUUAACGUACUCUUGAUCCAUUACUUGCAGUUAUUUCAGAUAAGGAUGGAACUCUAUUGUGGGUUGUUUGUAGGUGAAAAGGCAGUCUUCACUUUCCCAUGAUGCCUAAAAAGAAUAGGCAAUUGGAUGCAUUGACUUGUCCAAGUAUGAUGAGAGUCUCUGCUCCCCCGUAACCAAAUUAUUGCUAACCCUCUUUUCAGACAAUGUAUUUCCAAAAAUUCCGUUGGCCAACAGUAUAGCUGUUUCAUCUGUGCAGCCCCACUUACAUGCAGGCUAGUCCAUAGUGGCUUUCCUGGAGAAAACGAUACUUUUAUGUAAUAAUGGAAAGGGUUCUGGAUAUGUCAUACGUCGUGGGUUUAAAUCCUAGCUCUGCAAUUUACCAGAUGUGUGAAUACAGGGAACGUGCAAAGCUUCCUUGAACCUUAGUCCCCUAUUUACAAAACUGGGGACAUGAUACUUAUCUCACAGGACUGUUAAAUGUUGAAUGAAAUGGUUUGUUUGAAAGUGCCUGGCUUAUAGUAGGUCCAAAAUAAAUCUUCACUAAACCUGAACUGUUUAGCUUUCCAGUAAUACGAAAAAAAUAUAUAUCAGGAACCCAGUAACUUCCUAGUGUCCAGAGGCUUAAAUGUACCACACAUAGAAUACAGAUUGUUUAUGUUUAUAUGUGCAUUGUUAUAAGAAAACAAAUGCCACAUACCCACCUAACAGGAUGAAAUGAUUGACAGGUAACAUUGACCUUCUUCCAGGAAAUCACAGAUUUUCAAAACAAGCACUUUUUAAAAUUACAAAAAUAUGCAGCAUGAAUCAGAAAAGCAGGAGGCUGUGUUUGUUUGAUCAACAUUUCAUUUUCCAUAGCUUCCAUCUUCGUUUUAUUGCAUGGUGUGCUAUUUCCCUCAAUAGAAAAGGAAGGCUACUGGGAUGUUUGUUAUAAUCGUCUGCUUAAGGUUCUUUGGCAGAUCACAUGUUUUACUUAAUUAAAUAAUGUCCCAAUUAAUUGAUUUGUUUGUAGACAUUCUUAAUUUAGUAAAGGCUGAGCAGAAUGCUAAAAAUACCAUUAUAUUUCUGACAGAGGCACCACUAAAGUCUGAUAAUUGAUAGCUUUGCUGUUUUCUCUGAUGGCCUGAAAGGCUUUUAAAGCUAAAUUCUGUAAUCAUGUUCAUCUUUGGAAAUUAGUUUUGUGAAACCACACAUUUAGUUCUUGCUGAGAAAUCUCAUUUUAGUCAUUUUAACAUAAUUUAUAAUGCAUAAACUAAAUUAGCUUUUGUAGCUAAGCCAGCACAUUUUUCUUUAAUUUUUAUCUCAUCCUAAUAUAUUUUUGACCUUGAAAACUGUAAUGUCUGUUGGAUAUUGAAGCCUCUGAACAAAGAAAAUCAUUUCCAUUCCAUCACUAUGGUUACACUUUCUUCGCUCUCCAGCACUGAACACUGCUGAAAGUGUUGAAUCUGGAUUCCUCAGGAGGGCAAGGGGAACUUCAUGUAAUAUCAUUUAGUUCUGAUUAAAUAAACACAUAUACAUAAUGGAACCCAGGAAAGUAGCAAAUUACUUCACUUUGUUUACAUUGCAUAUGAUCUGACUGAUGGUAAGGGGCAAUAUAUCACCCAAUGUUAUACAUUUCAGGUUCUGCUGUGUGUGGUUUAUCCCUAGGCAGUCACACAUACAUAUUCGUCUCCAAAAACACAGUCAAAAUGCCAGGCAGCUCCUAACACCUCCAAUACUCCUGAAGUCAAAGCGGUUUUAUCCCCUUCUAACAACAGAGAACUUCUAGUGCAAAUCAUACAGUUCCCUGUCUGCCAGAGAUGUGUUUCAAAUGAGCUUGCAACGUGUCUCUCUCCAUCCUAAAAUGGGUUGUGGCUGCCUAUAAAAGCAAGAGAAGAACCUGGUCAUUCAAACGAAUGCUAUACCUGCUGCCUCUGAUAGAAAAAUACCCUUUUUUACAGACGGCAGCAUUUGUUAAAACGUGUCUUGAAUUUCUUUUAUUACACAGCUGGUCUACAAUGUUAACUACAAUAGGUUUGCUGUUUUGUUCUUUGCCUUAGUAGCUUAUGUAUCAAAGCCAUCUCCAAGAAAAUCGUUGGUAACUAGUUGGUAUCAUUAAGGGUCAAUACUGUUUUUAAAAGUACAAUGUAUCCAAUCAGUAUUAUGGCAUAUUAAAUCCAUAUAAACUCAAAUGGAAUGUCUCCUUCCCAUGGUCGAUAUUCACAGAUUUCCAGCUACAUGGGUUGGCUUGUGCAAAAGUAAUGCAGAGCUAUUCAUUUCAGCAGCAUAUGAUAAAAAACUGGAGUGAGAGAGGAAACAGCUAGAGCCCAGGUAGGAAAGAAAUCUGCGUCUUGAAUAGCUUUCAGGUACAUGGACCACAAUAAUCAUCUCUGUGGCCUGGCACAGAAAAUACACAAUAAAUAUUUGUGGCAUGGAAGAAUAGGUGGGUAUUUGAAAGGGCUCACUUUUUUUUCAGAUGUAAAGAUCUUUUGGUGGUGGAAAAGAACACACUGAUACUCAGACAGAUAAAAGGCAGAACUCCAGCUCCAAGUAAAAAAGGGCUGCCAGCCAGGGUCACACAGGGGGUGGCAUCCAGGAAGAGGGUAGCAGCAAGCUGGAGCUGGAGGGAGCAGCCUGUGUAUGGCAAAUGGGAUUGAGCUAGCUAGGUGUCCUGGACUCGCUGCAGAUUAGCUAAUUUGAAUAAUUCUGUGGGCUCCAAGGCAUGAGGGCUAGUUGUCCACCCCUGGGUAAUAGUGGUCCCAGAGUGAAAGAGCCUGAUAAGAGAAGUGAUCGGAGUAUAGACUUAAUCAGCAACUGAAAACGGGAAAUUGAUCCACAUCUAGCCAGGGCCUCAGAACUGGAUCAAUACAGCAUUUUUUUUUUUUUUU
rnacentral:lncRNA from 10 species